AAAAUCCGUCGACUUUAAAAAUCGUGAGGGUUCAAGUCCCUCUAUCCCCAAAAAAAGCCUAUUUG
rnacentral:tRNA from 1 species